UGGGAAGGAAGGGAGGAAGACCCCAUGGUUAUUAGUAUUAUGUCCGAAACAUCCUUAGACCUGAUGACCUUAAGCACUAAAUGACACAGCGAGGAACAAUCCUGGCCGGGUCAUGAGUGAUUACAGGGCUCUGGGGGCUAGGCUUAAUGGGUUUGGGGCACAGGUAGUUUUCUUCUCCAUUCUCCUGGUUGCAGGCCAUGGGCCUAGGGAAGAUGGACGUAUUGAAGAGGAGAACCAAAGGCUCCAGUGAUGGUGCUACCGAAAAGGUUUCAGCUUCCUUGACCACAGUAUUAACUUCAGAGACAGAGAUCUUCUGGGAUGGGACGGUAUGCACCUCACAUCAAAGAGGAAGGUUCUUUUCUUGGCCAAGAUGGUGGACAGGCUUUAAGCUAAGAUUGCCUGGGGACAGGGGGACAACAAGAGGAGAGAGCCCAGGGGCCAGCAAACAAACUUCCAUUACAACAGAAGAAGACAGGAAGGACACUACAGCAUGAGCUGAGGGAGUGGAGCUCCCUCAAUGUGACAGAAAACCGAGGACUUCCAGCAGAGGGCUCAAAUGCCUGUACACAAAUGCCAGGAGCAUGGGGAA